rnacentral:rRNA from 1 species
GACGAACCGUGCUAACGUUGUUCGGAAUCACUGGGCUUAAAGGGCGCGUAGGCGGGCAAGCAAGUCAGGGGUGAAAGCCCACGGCUCAACCGUGGAAGUGCCUUUGAUACUGCGUGCCUUGAGGGAGGUAGGGGCGUGCGGAACUUCCGGUGGAGCGGUGAAAUGCGUAGAUAUCGGAAGGAACACCGGUGGCGAAAGCGGCGCGCUGGACCUCUUCUGACGCUGAGGCGCGAAAGCCAGGGGAGCAAACGGG